AACGAACGCUGGCGGCAGGCUUAACACAUGCAAGUCGAACGCCCCGCAAGGGGAGUGGCAGACGGGUGAGUAACGCGUGGGAACGUGCCCUUCGCUUCGGAAUAGCCCCGGGAAACUGGGAGUAAUACCGAAUACGCCGUAUUGGGAAAGAUUACCGGCGAAGGAUCGGCCCGCGUUAGAUUAGCUAGUUGGCGGUGUAAUGGACCACCAAGGCUACGAUCUAUAGCUGGUCUGAGAGGAUGAUCAGCCACACUGGGACUGAGACACGGCCCAGACUCCUACGGGAGGCAGCAGUGGGGAAUCUUGGACAAUGGGCGCAAGCCUGAUCCAGCCAUGCCGCGUGAGUGAAGAAGGCCUUAGGGUUGUAAAACUCUUUCGCCGGAGAAGAUGAUGACGGUAUCCGGAGAAGAAGCCCCGGCUAACUUCGUGCCAGCAGCCGCAGUAACAC
rnacentral:rRNA from 1 species